rnacentral:rRNA from 1 species
ACGGGUGAGUAAUGCUUAUCUAACUUGCCAAUUAGUGGGGGAUAACCAUGGGAAACCAUGGCUAAUACCGCAUUUGUUACUUCGGUAAUGAAAGAGAGUCGCAAGAUUCUCGCUAAUUGAUAGGGAUAAGUCGUAUUAGUUAGUUGGUGGGGUAAUGGCCUACCAAGACCAUGAUGCGUAGCCAGUCUGAGAGGAUGAAUGGCCACAAGGGAACUGAGACACGGUCCCUACUCCUACGGGAGGCAGCAGUGAGGAAUUUUCGGCAAUGGGGGCAACCCUGACCGAGCAAUACUACGUGAAGGAGGAAGGUCUACGGAUUGUAAACUUCUGUUAGCAGGGAAGAAGGGCUGGACGUGAGUUCAGUUUUGACGGUACCUGCAGAGAAAGCCACGACUAACUACGUGCCAGCAGUCGCGGUAAGACGUAGGUGGCGAACGUUAUCCGGAAUUAUUGGGCGUAAAGGGUGCGUAGAUGGUGUAAUAAGUUAUCAGCGGUAAAUCGGGGCUCAACCUCGUGGAAGUCGGUAAUACUGUUAUACUUGAGUGCAGGAGAGGUUAACGGAACUCCAUGUGGAGCGGUAAAAUGCGUAGAUAUAUGGAAGAACACCAAUAACGGCGAAGGCAGUUAACUAUUCUGUUACUGACAUUGAGGCACGAAAGCGUGGGGAGCAAAAAGGAUUAGAUACCCUUGUAGUCCACGCCCUAAACGAUGAGUGCUAGAUAUUGGGAACUUGAUUCUCAGUGCCGCUAGGUAACCCAGUAAGUACUCCGCCUGGGUAGUACGCUCGCAAGAGUGAAACUCAAAGGAAUUGACGGGGACUCGCACAAGCAGUGGAGCAUGUGGUUUAAUCCGAUACAACGCGUAGAACCUUACCAAGGCUUGACAUGUUGGGCAAAGCUAGGGAAACCUAGUGGAGGUUAUCCUAACACAGGUGCUGCAUGGCCGUCGUCAGUUCGUGCCGUGAGGUGUAUGGUUAAGUCCUAUAACGAACGCAACCCUUGGGCUUAGUUGCCAGCAUUAAGUUGGGGACUCUGAGCCGACUGCCUGAGUAAUCAGGAGGAAGGAAAGGAUGACGUCUGGUCGUC